GUGCAUGUGUGUUACCUGGGAUAUUGUUAAAAUGUGGGCUCUGAUUCAACAGGCCUGGGUGGGGCCUGAGACUGCAUUUCUAGCCAGCUCCCAGGUGAUACCUAUACUUCUGGUCCUGGUGGAACCACUCUGGGGAACAAGGCCCUUAUGGGCUUCUAUGAGAAUUCAUUCUGGAUUUCUGGGUCACAGAAGUGGCCCCAAGACUCUGAAGUGAUGUCCCUGACUCGCAAUGCCCAGCCAAGUCAAUGAGAGACCCAAGAUUGGCAUCCUGGCUUUAAACAGGUGUUCUUGUCUUGGUUUUAUCCUUGAGGAACAUGAAGUUCAAGACCAAGGCCAUGGAGCUAAAAGGCCACAUCUGAGGGAGAACCGCAAGAAAACGGGAUGGAAGGACCGGGCCUGGGGUUUUCAGGCACCGAUGCUGAAGGCAUCUGACCAGUGGCCUGAAUACUUGUGCAACUCCACAGCAAGUGGGUUUUAGCAAAAAUAAA